AGUUUUAUAGUUAAUAAAUAAUAUAAAAUUGCAAAUUUUAAGUUGUAUAAUAUACUAAGGCUU
rnacentral:tRNA from 1 species